rnacentral:lncRNA from 1 species
AUGGGUGCACAAAUACCAGAAUCUGAUCAGAUUAAACAGUUGAAGGAAUUUCUUGGGACUGACAAUAAACUUGCAGAAAUCUGCUUUUUGGACUGUGUUAAGACUGCACAACAGAUGUAAAACCUGAAGAGACCAGCCUGUUCAGAACACUUUAUGGAAAUAUUUUUAAAUGACAAAAAGAAUAUCCAUGAGACUUCAGGAAUGUAAUAUUCAGCAGAAUGAAGCUCUGGCAGCCAAAGCAGGACUACUUGGCCAA